GGUCCUUUAACUCAGUGGUAGAGUGCGGGAUUGCAGUUAAACGAAUAUCCUGAAGUCACUGGUUCGAUCCCGGUAGGGACCU
rnacentral:tRNA from 1 species